rnacentral:rRNA from 1 species
GACGUAGGGGGCCAGCGUUGUUCGGAAUUACUGGGCGUAAAGCGUGCGUAGACGGUUGCGUAAGUCAGAUGUGAAAGCCCCGGGCUCAACCUGGGAAUUGCAUUUGAGACUGCGUAGCUAGGGUGCGGAAGAGGGAAGCGGAAUUUCCGGUGUAGCGGUGAAAUGCGUAGAUAUCGGAAGGAACACCAGUGGCGAAAGCGGCUUCCUGGUCCAGCACCGACGUUCAGGCACGAAAGCGUGGGGAGCAAACAGG